AGUGGAUGGGGAGCAACCUAGUUGUGCGUGUGUAAAGGUAGUGCCAAGAAAAGCGAUGAUCAUGUUGAAAAUCAAUUCCCGGUACCCGAAACCGACACAGGUGGGCAAGUAGAGAAUACUAAGGGGCGCGAGGUAACUCUCUCCAAGGAACUCGGCAAAAUGACCCCGUAACUUAGGGAGAAGGGGUGCCACCGAGAGGUGGUCGCAGUGAAGAGGCCCAGGCGACUGUUUAGCAAAAACAUAGGUCUCUGCAAACUCGAAAGAGGAGGUAUAGGGGCUGACGCCUGCCCAGUGCCGGAAGGUUAAAGAAGUUGGUCAGUCUUAGGAUGAAGCUAGCGACUGAAGCCCCGGUGAACGGCGGCCGUAACUAUAACGGUCCUAAGGUAGCGAAAUUCCUUGUCGGGUAAGUUCCGACCCGCACGAAAGGCGUAACGAUCUGGGCGCUGUCUCGGAGAGAGGCUCGGCGAAAUAGGAUUGUCUGUGAAGAUACGGACUACCUGCAUUUGGACAGAAAGACCCUAUGAAGCUUUACUAUAGCUUGGAAUUGUGUUCGGGCUUCCUGUGCGCAGGAUAGGUGGGAGGCGUAGAAGGUAUUCUUGUGGGGAUACUGGAGCCAACGGUGAGAUACCACUCUCAGGAGGCUAGAAUUCUAACUUAAUUAAGGACAGUUUCAGGUGGGUAGUUUGACUGGGGCGGUCGCCUCCAAAAAGGUAACGGAGGCGUACAAAGGUUCCCUCAGACUGGUUGGAAAUCAGUCGAAGAGUGCAAAGGCAGAAGGGAGCUUGACUGCGAGAAGUACAGUUCGAGCAGGGUGGAAACACGGUCUUAGUGAUCCGACGGUGCUGUGUGGAAGGGCCGUCGCUCAACGGAUAAAAGUUACUCUAGGAUAACAGGCUGAUCUCCCCCAAGAGUUCACAUCGACGGGGAGGUUUGGCACCUCGAUGUCGGCUCAUCGCAACCUGGGGCGGAAGUACGUCCCAAGGGUUGGGCUGUUCGCCCAUUAAAGCGGUACGUGAGCUGGGUUCAGAACGUCGUGAGACAGUUCGGUCCAUAUCCGAUGUAGGCGUGAGAAUAUUGAGAGGAGCCUUCCUUAGUACGAGAGGACCGGGAAGGACGCACCGCUGGUGUACCUGUUAUGAUGCCAAUUGUAAACGCAGGGUAGCCAAGUGCGGAGAGGAUAACCGCUGAAAGCAUCUAAGUGGGAAGCCCACCUCAAGAUGAGUAUUCUGGUGUAAGGUCACGGGAAGACGACCCGUAAAUAGGCACGAGGUGGAAGUGCAGAGAUGUAUGAAGCCGAAGUGUACUAAUAGACCGUCGGCUU
rnacentral:rRNA from 1 species